UACGUAGGGUGCGAGCGUUAAUCGGAAUUACUGGGCGUAAAGCGUGCGCAGGCGGUUUCGUAAGACAGAUGUGAAAUCCCCGGGCUUAACCUGUGAACUGCGUUUGUGACUGCGAGACUCGAGUGUGGCAGAGGGGGGUGGAAUUCCACGUGUAGCAGUGAAAUGCGUAGAGAUGUGGAGGAAAACCGAUGGCGAAGGCAGCCCCCUGGGUUGACACUGACGCUCAUGCACGAAAGCGUUGGUAGCAAACAGG
rnacentral:rRNA from 1 species